UACGUAGGGUGCGAGCGUUGUCCGGAUUUAUUGGGCGUAAAGAGCUCGUAGGCGGCUUGUCGCGUCGACUGUGAAAACUUGGGGCUCAACCCCAAGCCUGCGGUCGAUACGGGCAGGCUCGAGUUCGGUAGGGGAGACUGGAAUUCCUGGUGUAGCGGUGAAAUGCGCAGAUAUCAGGAGGAACACCGGUGGCGAAGGCGGGUCUCUGGGCCGAUACUGACGCUGAGGAGCGAAAGCGUGGGGAGCGAACAGG
rnacentral:rRNA from 1 species